AUGUCCGAGAAUAUGAACCAUGCACAUAUAUUCAGGCGCAUACACAAAAGACAGAUGGCAGAUUGUGGUGUGAACAAAGAUGGGCAAAAAAUUGCUGUGAAGAUAAUGGCAGGACCUAAGGGCUACUCGCAAAGUUGUGACAUAUCCCCAAGCGAAAAAUUCAUUGAGCUUCUAGUUGGAAAAUGGAGGAAUAGGCUACAGGCAACACCAAUGGGUGCGUUGGAGUCCAUCUGCCAGCAAGUCAGGACAUGCAUUAUGCUAGCUUUACAAUGUGUGGACCCUGAUCGGCACAAGAGGCCGGUGAUAGGGUCCAUUUGUUUUUCGCUAGCAUAUACAGGGGCGAUAUGGACCCCUAGUUAUUAUACUAUCGGUGAAGUGGUGGACGACAACAAGUUGGAUAAAAUGGUAAGGUACACGGGCAAACCUAAGACGCAGGUAGACCGAGCACGAGAGGCCUUGAACCUAGUGCACGAGGAAAAUAAGGAGAUCUUGGCUUUUAGGACAUUGGCCCGUAUUGUACCAUUUUCCAAAACGGGUACGCACUGCCUCAUCUAUAACGCGACCGGUGAUAACCUCCACUAUGUCGACAACCACGACUGGCACGGUCACAUUGUUGACGAUACGUCGUACCCACGAGUUAUCGGCAAUGGACAAUGGGCCAUCAUCCAUCAUGAGUACUCAUUUUCUAAAGGUUCAACUGCUUGCGUGGUAUACCGUGGCAAGAUCAAAGAUGGUCAGUACAAGGAUUACCUGCUUGCCUGGACCGCUCAGAUCCGCCCGUUUACGAGCAACAAGGGGUCUGAUAAUUCUUCGACUGCCAAGUUCGAUAGACACGAGAUUGACACAAUAAUUUGCCAAGAUCGUUAUCUCCCCAAGUUUAUCGCAAUAAUCUCGCUGAUGACCCAUCUCGGCGGAAAAGCGACGUCUACGGUGCCAUGGGACAACUGCGGUGGCUUAAUGAAUUUUAUUGUCAUGGAUGAUGAUCUCGUACCAGAACAGCGUGCACUCCAUAUCCUGCCCCUCCGCUUUGCCCUUGAUAGAGAUCUGUCAUUCCUACCAGCUUUGUACUCAUCCACCGUCCUAGAAGAGGCUUACUUAAGACGUGUAUCAGCAUGCUUGGCAACAGAUGGAAUCAUGAUUAAUAUGGUGGUUGGUGGUGAGGUAGCUCUUCUAAAGUCUAUGGAAGAAACCAGUGGAUUCGUCAUUGCAGAGAUGCCAAUACAUUUGCAAAGAAACAGCCCAAUUGGUAUUGCCAUGAAAUGCUGCAGCUUUGUCAGAAUUGGAGCAGUAAAGCUUGCCGGUGGUGUGAAUCCUGGUUUGAAGCCAACCGAAGUUGCUGAAGCUGAAACAAACAUGGCCUUCAUCCACUUCCAGUCUUCUUUCUCCUAUUAG
rnacentral:rRNA from 1 species